rnacentral:lncRNA from 1 species
AGGAGCACCAGCCGCGCCCGGGCGCACGGAGGAGCACGCUGGCGACGCCGCGCCACGCCGCUCGGCGACCGGCCUCCCGCAGCCCCGCGCUACGCCGCCUCCCCUCCUUCGCGCCCAGGAAGGAAAACUUUGCCUCUUCCCUGACCUAGGCCGGCUUUCCCCAACCCGCCCGUCCGCCUGCCUGCCACCAGCCACUCUGUAUAUGGAAGAAGAAAUGCUUCAAGGUGAUCGUGAAGGAAGUACAGCUUCCUCCCUUAACCCUUGAUGGACACGGACUGCUCGGCCUCCAGGCUGAAGAGGUUCUUCAGAGGUGUUGCCAAGACAAUGGAUGAUCCCUUGUUGGAGAUUUACUGACUGAUGGGGAGCGAGGUGAGAGAACUUAUGGUAACCUAGGGUCCUUGUCUGACCCUAUGGCUCCUCCCUUCUGCUUCGGGUUUUGUAUUUUGAGCAACACUGUUCCUGAGUUGUAAAGAGACAAGAUACCUCCUGCCUGAUCUCAAACCCAUCAUGAAGACUGACUGACUACACUUCUCUAUCCAUGGGCCUCCUUUGUAGACCACCCAGAAGAGGCAUUGUAGCCCCAAUUUUCAAUGUGUAUAAUGUGUCCUUGCCUUCCUACUUGCCAUGGGAAAGAUAGGGCCAUCAGUAAAAGUCUGCAUUAUAAGAG